rnacentral:rRNA from 1 species
UACGUAGGGUGCAGGCGUUAAUCGGAAUUACUGGGCGUAAAGCGUGCGCAGGCGGCUCCUUAAGUCAGAUGCGAAAGCCCCGGGCUUAACCUGGGAACUGCGUUUGAAACUGGGGGGCUAGAGUGUGGAAGAGGGGGGUGGAAUUCCAGGUGUAGCAGUGAAAUGCGUAGAGAUCUGGAGGAACACCGAUGGCGAAGGCAGCCCCCUGGGCUAACACUGACGCUCAUGCACGAAAGCGUGGGGAGCAAACAGG